rnacentral:rRNA from 1 species
UACGGAGGGGGCGGGCGUAUUCGGAAUUAUUGGGCGUAAAGGGCGCGUAGGCGGCCUGGCGCGUCGGCUGUGAAAUCUCCCGGCUCAAUUGGGAGGGGACGGCCGAUACGGCUGGGCUUGAGCGAGGUAGGGGAGAGUGGAAUUCCCGGUGUAGUGGUGAAAUGCGUAGAUAUCUGGAGGAACACCGGUGGCGAAGGCGGCAUCCUGGACCGGCAUUGACGCUGAGGCGCGAAAGCCAGGGGAGCAAACGGG